rnacentral:misc_RNA from 1 species
GACGAGGGGUCCUAGCGUUGUUCGGAAUCAUUGGGCGUAAAGCGUGUGUAGGCGGCCAUUUAAGUCAGGUGUGAAAUCCCCGGGCUCAACCCGGGAAGUGCAUUUGAUACUGAGUGGCUUGAGUAUGGGAGAGGAUAGCAGAAUUCCUGGUGUAGUGGUGAAAUACGUAGAUAUCAGGAGGAAUACCGGUGGCGAAGGCGGCUAUCUGGCCCUAUACUGACGCUGAGACACGAAAGCGUGGGGAGCAAACAGG